rnacentral:lncRNA from 1 species
GUGCAAGGGCAGACCUGAGAAGCACUGUGCAAGAGAGUGGGCUACUGAGAGCAGAUGACUGGGUGGGCUUAGCUGCACUGCAGGGUAUGAGUGUGCUAGCUGGCUGUCUGAAGAGGAGAGGGUGAAGGAAAUAUGGCGGGAAGAACGCCCCCCUCCAUCCUCGCCGCAGCCCACCCAGCCGCGGAAUCGCAUGCGCACUGGGGACCUGGAGGAAAGGGCUUUUGUUGGGAAAUCCGGCCGACCAGAGGGGUCCGCGCAUGCGCAGGCUCCCCAGCCGCGGGGGGUGCGCGGAGAAAAGGGGCGGGGUGGUCCGAGCUGCUGUGCUGGCAGCAGUAGGCGAGGGCGCGGCUGCGGGGUUCCUGGUGCUGAGCACGGACGCCAUUGGAGCCCCAGGGAAGGUAAGGAUCCAGCCCCAGACAGGACCGGACGAGGGCGAGUGCAAGCCCACACGCUGCGCCCUCUCCCUGCCCUCUGGAUCUGAACAAAGCCCUAGCCCUCAGAACCGGAACCUCAUGAGACCCAACGUCGCGAUAGGACCCCCAGCACCGCGACCGUCAGACUCAAGCGCCCCUGUCCCAGCCGGGAGCUGCCCGGGUGCCUGCCAGCUCAACCGUUGUGACAGACCCUGAGCCGAGUGAGCUUCCUGAGAUCCCAGGCCCCACCCCCACCGCAUCAGUCCUAGACUACUCCAGCUGAGCUGACCGCUUGCGCCUUCCUGGAGUCCCAGUCCUUGGACCUUGAGCUGUCCAGGCAGCCAGUUCAAGCCCUACCUAGGUCCAAGGCUCCCAUCCUCUGAGCCCAACCUAGACCACAGUCAGAGAAACAGCCUGCCACCGGGUCCCGCCCCCUGCCCCUGAGGCAGAGCUCUCAGCUCCCUGGGAGCCCCAGCAUGGCUGAGGGAAGCUACAGUGUGCAAUCUGGAAACUCCAGUGUCGAAGACAUGGAUGAGGGGAGCCACCAAGUCAGGGUGGCAGAGAUGGUUGGAGGCAGCGACUAUGAAGAGUUUGGUGCCUUUGGUGGCUAUGGCACACUCACCAGCUUUGACAUCCAUCUGCUCAGAGCCUUUGACACCUUGGGUUCCGGCUUUCACAUCUUAGCGAAUGAGCCCUGGGAGCUGGAAAGUCCUGUGCUGGCUCAGACCCUGGUGGAGGCAUUGCAGCUGGAUCCAGAAACCCUUGCCAAUGAGACCGAGGCCCAUGCCGCCAGUGUCGCCCGCUCUGCCGCCUCCAACCGAGCCGCUCGGGCCGCUGCCGCUGCCGCCCGCAGGUCCAUCCGUCAGGUGGUGGCUCACCACAUGGUGCCCACACAGCCGGCCACAGGAGACGGUGCCCAGCCUGGGACAUACUCUGAGGCUCAGGGGCCCGCCCCGGAGGCAAUCCUGGUCUCACCUCCGACAUCCCAGAUGUCAGUCGUCAGUGAGAUGGCCGCCCCUGGGGCUCCAGCAGUCUCCACGCAUUCCCAGACGGCCUCCCUGGACCAGGCGGCUGCUGCCAGGGGUCCAAGUACUGCCUGUGCUGGGGGUCCUAGUCCCGCCUGUGCCGAGGGUCCCAGUACUGCCUGUGCCGAGGGUCCUAGUACUGCCUGUGCUUUCUCUCAGGCUCCAAGUGCCAGUGAAACGGAUGCCACCUGGCCCCAGGCAGGCUUCCUGGGCCAGAAGGAUGUCUUUGAUUUCACUCAGCCAGCAGGUGUCAGUGGCAUGGCCUUCACCCGCCCCAAGAGACCUGCUCCAGCCCAAGAGGCCGCCACGGAGGACCCUAGUGCCGCCUCUGGUGGGCCUCAGGCAGCACCUGCCCGGGAAGCGGCAGCCACCGGACCCAAGAACACCAAAUCUGGGAAGGCUGUGGCCAAGACUCGGUGGGUGGAGCCUCAGAAGGUUGUGACCUCAGCGGCUGCCAACAGCAAGACGGCCACAAGCAUCCCUGAG